UACGUAGGGGGCAAGCGUUGUCCGGAUUUAUUGGGCGUAAAGAGCGUGUAGGCGGCCAGAUAGGUCCGUUGUGAAAACUCGAGGCUCAACCUCGAGACGCCGAUGGAAACCAUUUGGCUAGAGUCCGGAAGAGGAGAGUGGAAUUCCUGGUGUAGCGGUGAAAUGCGCAGAUAUCAGGAAGAACACCCGUGGCUAAGGCGGCUCUCUAGUACGGUACCGACGCUGAGGCGCGAAAGCGUGGGGAGCAAACAGG
rnacentral:rRNA from 1 species